rnacentral:lncRNA from 1 species
GGCGUUGAGAUGGUUCAGGGCCCUGUUCAAACUCCAGCACUGACCAUUCACCGGCGGAAGCGGCGGCCGUGGCCAAAGCACCCGCCAGGCUCCGAGAGAAUAUGAAACUGGUGUCAAAAUGACAUCCAGAUUUGGGAAAACAUACAGUAGGAAAGGUGGAAAUGGCAGUUCAAAAUUCGAUGAAGUCUUUUCCAACAAACGGACUACCCUUAGCACAAA